AGGCAGCAGUGGGGAAUCUUGGACAAUGGGCGAAAGCCUGAUCCAGCGACGCCGCGUGGGGGACGAAGCCCUUCGGGGUGUAAACCCCUGUUGCGAGGGAGGAAUAAGACCUGGAGGAAAUGCCAGGUCGAUGACUGUACCUCGCGAGAAAGCCCCGGCUAACUACGUGCCAGCAGCCGCGGUAAUACGUAGGGGGCGAGCGUUACCCGGAUUCACUGGGCGUAAAGGGGGUGUAGGCGGCUCGGUAAGUCGGGUGUGAAAUCCCACGGCUCAACCGUGGAAUUGCGCCCGAAACUGCCGAGCUUGGGGCCGGUAGAGGGAGACGGAACUGCCGGUGUAGGGGUGAAAUCCGUAGAUAUCGGCAGGAACGCCGGUGGGGAAGCCGGUCUCCUGGGCCGCGCCCGACGCUGAGGCCCGAAAGCUAGGGGAGCAAACCGGAUUAGAUACCCGGGUAGUCCUAGCCGUAAACGAUGCCCACUAGGUGUGGGGGAGUAUUUCCUCCGUGCUGUAGCUAACGCGUUAAGUGGGCCGCCUGGGGAGUACGCCCGCAAGGGUGAAACUCAAAGGAAUUGGCGGGACCCCGCACAAGCGGUGGAGCGCGUGGUUUAAUUGGAUGCUGAGCCAAGAACCUUACCAGGGCUUGACAUGCAGGUGGUACCGACCCGAAAGGGGAGGGACCCCAUCCUUUUGGGUGGGGAGCCUGCACAGGUGGUGCACGGCCGUCGUCAGCUCGUGCCGUGAGGUGUUGGGUUAAGUCCCGUAACGAGCGCAACCC
rnacentral:rRNA from 1 species